rnacentral:rRNA from 1 species
UACGGAGGGUGCGAGCGUUGUCCGGAAUCACUGGGCGUAAAGGGCGCGUAGGCGGCGCGGGAAGUCCAUGGUGAAAGCCCGAGGCUCAACUUCGGGUCGGCCAAGGAUACUCCCGGGCUCGAGCACUGUAGAGGCAGGUGGAAUUCCGGGUGUAGCGGUGGAAUGCGUAGAGAUCCGGAAGAACACCGGUGGCGAAGGCGGUCUGCUGGGCAGUUGCUGACACUGAGGCGCGACAGCGUGGGGAGCAAACAGG